AAAAAGGCAAAAAAGGAGAAUCCCAUUUCAAUUUUGCCCGCUUUCCCAUCUUUUGCCCUCUGCCUCGCUUUCAAUCUCUUCAUCUUCUUUACAGUGGCUCACCGUUACGCAGCCCAACUGCAGCUAUGCUGCCCUCAAAGCCCCGUCUCAUACUCUAUAGCUCGAACGACCCAUGCCCACAUGAUAGCAUCUGGGUUCAAGCCACGUGGUCAUAUUCUUAACCGCUUGAUUGAUGUCUACUGUAAAUCUUCAAAUUUUAGUUAUGCCCACCAACUGUUCGAUCAAAUUCCAAAACCAGACAUUGUUGCUAGAACCACCUUGAUUACGGCGUACUCUGCCAUUGGGAAUCUAACUCUGGCUCGGAAGAUAUUCAAUGAAACUCCAUUGAGCAUGCGAGACACUGUUUGUUACAAUGCGAUGAUCACAGGCUAUUCUCGUAACAAUGAUGGCUAUGCCUCUAUUAGACUAUUUUGUGAGAUGAGGCAAGGUGGUUUUAGGCCAGACGAUUUCACAUAUACGACUGUACUAAGUGGUGCGGCACAGAUAGUGGAUGUUGAAAAGCAGUGCCAGCAACUACAUUGUGCAGUAGUUAAGUCAGGAACAGGGUUUGCCACUUCGGUGUGGAAUGCGCUGUUAUCUGUUUAUGUUAGAUGUGCUUCUUCACCAUUAGUAUCAUCAUCAUCAUUGAUGGGUGAAGCUAGGAAUUUGUUUAAUGAGAUGCCUGAGAGAGAUGAACUAUCAUGGACAACGAUGAUUACUGGGUACAUAAGGAAUGAAGACCUUCAUGCAGCUCGGGAAUUGCUAGAUGGGAUGGAUGAAAGGAUGGAAGUUGUAUGGAAUGCGAUGAUUUCGGGUUAUGCUCACCACAAUUCUUUUCAAGAAGCAUUGCUAUUGUUUAGGAAAAUGCGGUUACUGGGGAUUCAUCAGGAUGAAUUUACAUACACUAGUGUUAUUAGUACUUGCGCUAAUAAUGGACUAUUUCAGCUUGGGAAGCAGGUGCAUGCUUACAUACUUAGAACCGAAGCGAAGCCUACUGUGGAUUUUUCAUUAUCUGUGAACAAUACAUUGCUUACACUAUAUUACAAAUGUGGUAAACUUGAUGAAGCACAGUAUAUUUUUAAUAAUAUGCCUGUUAAAGAUCUUGUUUCUUGGAAUGCAAUCCUUUCAGGGUAUGUUAGUGCAGGGCGCAUCCAGGAAGCAAAAUCCUUUUUUAAGGAAAUGCCAGAGAGGAGCAUUCUGACAUGGACUGUGAUGAUAUCUGGUUUAGCUCAAAAUGGAUUAGGAGAAGAAGCGAUGAAGCUAUUCAACCAAAUGCGAUUAGAAGGUUUUGAACCGUGUGAUUAUGCAUUUUCUGGAGCAAUUACAUCUUGUGCUGCGCUUGGAGCAUUGGAGCAUGGACGCCAGCUCCAUGCUCAACUAAUUAGCUUGGGGUUUGAUUCAAGCCUUUCAGCUGCAAAUGCACUCAUCACAAUGUAUGCAAGAUGCGGAGUUUUCGAGGAUGCGAACUCUGUGUUUCUUACCAUGCCUUAUAUUGAUUCAGUGUCUUGGAAUGCUACGAUUGCAGCUCUGGCCCAACAUGGACAUGGUGUUCAAGCAAUAGACCUUUUUGAAAAAAUGUUGAAGGCAGAUAUACUACCAGAUAGAAUAACUUUCCUCAUCAUUCUAUCAGCUUGUAGUCAUGCUGGUUUAGUCAAGGAAGGGCGCCAUUAUUUUAGUUCAAUGCGUGUCUCUUAUGGUAUUAGCCCUGAUGAAGGCCAUUAUGCUCGCAUGAUUGAUCUGUUGUGUCGAUGUGGGGAGUUCACAGAAGCCAAGGGCUUGAUUGAAUCAAUGCCUUUUGAGCCAGGUGCACCGAUUUGGGAGGCUCUUCUUGCUGGUUGUCGGACUCAUGGGAAUAUGGAUUUAGGAAUUCAAGCAGCAGAACGACUCUUUGAGUUGGUGCCACAACACGAUGGAACUUACAUACUUUUGUCGAACCUGUAUGCCGCUAUAGGCCGUUGGGAUGAUGUGGCUAAGGUGCGGCAACUAAUGAGAGAUCGAGGGGUUAAGAAAGAGCCUGGUUGUAGUUGGAUUGACGUUGAAAACAUGGUCCACGUCUUCUUAGUUGGUGAUACUGUGCACCCUGAGGUCCAAGCCGUGUACAAAUAUCUUGAGCAACUAGGACUUGAAAUGAGGAAGUUAGGAUAUCUCCCUGACACAAAGUUUGUGUUGCAUGAUAUGGAGUCUGAGCAUAAGGAGUAUUCCUUGUCCACUCACAGUGAGAAGCUUGCAGUUGCAUUUGGGCUCAUGAAGCUUCCUCUCGGAGCCACAAUCAGAGUUUUUAAGAAUCUUAGGAUUUGUGGGGAUUGCCAUACUGCAAUUAAGUUUAUGUCAAGAGUGGUUGGAAGAGACAUAAUUGUGAGGGAUGCGAAGAGGUUUCAUCAUUUUAGGAAUGGUGAAUGCUCUUGUGGCAAUUACUGGUAAUCUGGCCCGAGCUUGAUGGGAGGAGGUUUUAUAAAUACUUGGCGGGUUGAUCCCCUCAACCACCAGGUGAAGCUUUGUGAUUUCGGAAGUGAAAAAGUUCUGGUGUGUUUGUCUUCAUGACAUUUUACACUUGCAUUCAAUCAUGUCAUGACACUACGUUUUAGAACUGAUAGGCAGAAUGACCAGUUGCUUUUAUGAUGGAUAAUCUUUUCUUGUUGAUAAACCGAUUGUCAAUCACCUGUCCAUUUGGUGAAAAUUAAUGCAUGGCUUCAACUCAAGAUAUUAGGACUUGUUUGAAUUAAUGUCUG
rnacentral:lncRNA from 1 species